AGUGAACGCUGGCGGUAGGCCUAACACAUGCAAGUCGAACGGCAGCACAGUAAGAGCUUGCUCUUACGGGUGGCGAGUGGCGGACGGGUGAGGAAUACAUCGGAAUCUACUUUUUCGUGGGGGAUAACGUAGGGAAACUUACUCUAAUACCGCAUACGACCUACGGGUGAAAGCAGGGGAUCUUCGGACCUUGCGCGAUUGAAUUAGCCGAUGUCGGAUUAGCUAGUUGGCGGGGUAAGGGCCCACCAAGGCGACGAUCCGUAGCUGGUCUGAGAGGAUGAUCAGCCGCACUGGAACUGAGACACGGACCAGACUACUACGGGAGGCAGCAGUGGGGAAUAUUGGACAAAGGGGGCAAGCAUGAUCCAGCCAUACCGAGUGGGUGAAGAAGGCCUUCGGGUUGUAAAGCCCUUUUGUUGGGAAAGAAAAGCAGCAGGUUAAUACCCCGCUGUUCUGACGGUACCCAAAGAAUAAGCACCGGCUAACUUCGUG
rnacentral:rRNA from 1 species